UCAUCAUGCCCCUUACGAGUAGGGCAAGACACGUGCUACAAUGGCGCAUACAGAGGGCGGCGAACUUGCGAGAGUGAGCGAAUCCCAAAAAGUGCGUCGUAGUCCGGAUUGGAGUCUGCAACUCGACUCCAUGAAGUCGGAAUCGCUAGUAAUCGUAGAUCAGAAUGCUACGGUGAAUACGUUCCCGGGCCUUGUACACACCGCCCGUCACACCAUGGGAGUGGGCUGCAAAAGAAGUGGGUAGUUUAACCUUUCGGGGAGGACGCUCACCACUUUGUGGUUCAUGACUGGGGUGAAGUCGUAACAAGGUAAC
rnacentral:rRNA from 1 species